rnacentral:misc_RNA from 1 species
AAGUCGUAACAAGGUUUCCGUAGGUGAACCUGCGGAAGGAUCAUUAACACGUAUCCACGUUUUAACAAACUUUAUCAACAAAUCGACGAACUGUAGCUCCCUGCUGAAUCUAACUGCGGUGUCGUAAUCCUGUCUUGGUGGGUCCUAGUAAACAUGUAGUCUUCGAGACUUGUGUUAGGCUACAGGCUGGCAGGCAUCGACUAUUCACACUUCGACUGUGAGCCAAAACACUUUCAGCAGGCUUACUUACUCUAUUCUCGCGUGUAGAUACUACAAUUCUUACCAUCAUAAGGCCGAGUUUAGAACCCCAUACCAAUUUCACCCUUCUUUACCCAUUUGACUAAUUAUUAUAUUUUUAGGAGAAAUCCUUUGAAUUACUAAGAUUUAUCUUAACUAAGCACAACUCUUAGCAAUGGAUAUCUUGGUUCUC